AAACGCUCAAACAAUGCUCACAAAUAUAACCCUGCAAUGAUAAGAAAAUGGUAGAUCCCCAUCUGGUAUAGCAUUGUUGAAGUUCUCCGACAGAUGGAGAUCUACCUUUUGGCCACACUUGCACUAGAGGGGGGCCCAGAAAACAUUCUUGCACCAGGGCUAACUCUACAUUAGUUCCACCACUGGGAUAAUCAAUGUGAGGUGCCUGGAUGAAAGAGCAGGAC